rnacentral:rRNA from 1 species
CAACUCCUAACAAUGGAUCACUUGGCUCUUAUAACGAUGAAGGGCGUAGCGAAUUACGAUAACUAUUGUGAAUUGCAGACACGUGAAUCAUCAAAUUCUUGAACGCACAUUGCACUCCGUCAUGCCUUUGGGUAUAUGGAGUAUGCUUGGUUGAGCAUUA